UACGAAGGGGGCUAGCGUUGUUCGGAAUUACUGGGCGUAAAGGGCGCGUAGGCGGUCGAUCAAGUCAGGCGUGAAAGCCCCGGGCUCAACCUGGGAACCGCGCUUGAGACUGGUGGGCUAGAGUUCGGGAGAGGAUGGUGGAAUUCCCAGUGUAGAGGUGAAAUUCGUAGAUAUUGGGAAGAACACCGAUGGCGAAGGCAGCCAUCUGGACCGACACUGACGCUGAGGCGCGAAAGCGUGGGGAGCAAACAGG
rnacentral:rRNA from 1 species